ensembl:lncRNA HAND2-AS1 HAND2 antisense RNA 1
AAUGCAAGUGUUUAACAGAUGCUUCACUAUUAAAAUAUUUUCCCCCCAAGUCUCAAAUAUUGAAGAAUCUCUAACCAGGGACACCAGUCCCUACGAAGACCUUGGGCGAUUUUGAAGUGCGGGCACCUCGAUUCCCCGAAUCUGUAGUGUGGCUGGUAUCGGUGUUCCCCUGGUUUAACUAGCCUGUUUGAAGGCACAGAUCAUUCAUGGGGAUGUAUAACCGAAACCAGUCCUCUCCACCGCCUGGGGAUCUUCACUUUCGCAGUCUACGACUGCCUGUGACUCCAGAAAGACAAACUGCAGAUUGGCCAAGGUCCAGCCUAAAUGUUACCUCCUCCAGGGAGCCUUUCCAGAUACUGCUUCUCCUCUCUCCCCCAACUCCCUCCCACAAAUGAAGUUUUCUCUUCUGAAUUCCUUGCUGGUACUGUCACUUAUAUUCUUUUGGGUAGAUCUCUGGGCAUGCAUAUGUCACCUCCUGUGACUGUGGGUUUCUUGACAACCUAAUCAAUGCAUUGAACAAAGGAGAUGUUUAGACAACCCAUAUAAAAUGAAUAAGAGAAAUAGGGUGAAUACCGUCUACCCCAAUUGCAAUCAGAUUAGUUUCCUUUAUUUUGAAAACGAUUAGAACUAGUAGAGGAGUUA